UAAUACGGAGGAUGCGAGCGUUAUCCGGAUUUAUUGGGUUUAAAGGGUGCGUAGGCGGCUUAGUAAGUCAGCGGUGAAAUUUUGCAGCUUAACUGUAACAGUGCCGUUGAUACUGCCAGGCUAGGAUUUGGUUGCUGUGGGUGGAAUGUGUGGUGUAGCGGUGAAAUGCUUAGAUAUCACACAGAAUAUCGAUUGCGAAGGCAGCUCACAAAGCCAAGAUUGACGCUGAGGCACGAAAGUGUGGGGAUCAAACAGG
rnacentral:rRNA from 1 species